CCUACGGGCGGCAGCAGUGAGGAAUAUUGGUCAAUGGGCUUACGCCUGAACCAGCCAAGUCGCGUGAGGGAAGACUGCCCUAUGGGUUGUAAACCUCUUUUGUCAGGGAGCAACGCCGGCUACGUGUAGCCGGACUGAGAGUACCUGAAGAAAACGCAUCGGCUAACUCCGUGCCAGCAGCCGCGGUAAUACGGAGGAUGCGAGCGUUAUCCGGAUUUAUUGGGUUUAAAGGGUGCGUAGGCGGAAUGCCAAGUCAGCGGUAAAAUCGCGGGGCUCAACCUCGCUCCGCCGUUGAAACUGGCGGUCUUGAGGUGGCGAGAAGUAUGCGGAAUGCGUGGUGUAGCGGUGAAAUGCAUAGAUAUCACGCAGAACUCCGAUUGCGAAGGCAGCAUACCGGCGCCCAACUGACGCUGAAGCACGAAAGCGUGGGUAUCGAACAGGAUUAGAUACCCCAGUAGUC
rnacentral:rRNA from 1 species